CCAGCAUGUGACAUACCUGGAGGUCCAGUUGGAGGUCAAACAAAGGUCACCCUGCGAAACGAACACUUGCAAUACAUCGUUACAUGGAUUUCUUGGUGAAAGCAUCAGGGUUUUGUGCAGGAAUUAGUGACAGGUUGAAGAUGAACUUUAGUUCCGUCAAGUGGUCAUGGGAUUGUUGGGUGCGGCAGCUGCAUGUACAGGGCUGUAAUGCUUGGACGUCUCUGAAUCAACCUGCUACAAACU